rnacentral:rRNA from 1 species
UACGGAGGGUGCAAGCGUUAAUCGGAAUUACUGGGCGUAAAGCGCACGCAGGCGGUUUAUUAAGUCAGAUGUGAAAUCCCCGGGCUUAACCUGGGAAUUGCAGCUGAAACUGGGAAGCUAGAGUCUUGUAGAGGGGGGUAGAAUUCCAGGUGUAGCGGUGAAAUGCGUAGAGAUGUGGAGGAAUACCGGUGGCGAAGGCGGCCCCCUGGACGAAGACUGACGCUCAGGUGCGAAAGCGUGGGGAGCAAACGGG